rnacentral:rRNA from 1 species
CCUACGGGAGGCAGCAGUGGGGAAUAUUGGGCAAUGGGCGCAACCCUGAUCCAGCGACGCCGCGUGAGGGAAGAAGGCUUUCGGGUUGUAAACUUCUUUUCUCAGGGACGAAACAAAUGACGGUACCUGAGGAAGAAGCCACGGCUAACUACGUGCCAGCAGCCGCGGUAAUACGUAGGUGGCAAGCGUUAUCCGGAGUUAUUGGGUGUAAAGGGCGAGUAGGUGGGAAAGCAAGUCGGAUGUGAAAACCACGGGCUCAACCUGUGGGCUGCAUGUGAAACUGGUUUUCUUGAGUACUGGAGAGGAAAGCGGAAUUCCUGGUGUAGCGGUGAAAUGCGUAGAUAUGAGGAGGAACACCAGUGGCGAAGGCGGUCUGCUGGACAGCAACUGACGCUGAGGCUCGAAAGUGCGGGGAGCAAACAGGAUUAGAUACCCUUGUAGUC